rnacentral:rRNA from 1 species
GAUGAACGCUGGCGGCGUGCCUAAUACAUGCAAGUCGAGCGAACGGACGAGAAGCUUGCUUUUCUUAUGUUAGCGGCGGACGGGUGAUUAACACGUGGAUAACCUACCUAUAAGACUGGGAUAACUUCGGGAAACCGGAUCUAAUACCGGAUAAUAUUUUGAACCGCAUGGUUCAAAAGUGAAAGACGGUCUUGCUGUCACUUAUAGAUGGAUACGCGCUGCAUUAGCUAGUUGGUAAGGUAACGGCUUACCAAGGCAACGAUGCAUAGCCGACCUGAGAGGGUGAUCGGCCACACUGGAACUGAGACACGGUCCAGACUCCUACGGGAGGCAGCAGUAGGGAAUAUUGCGCAAUGGGCGAAAGCCUGACGGAGCAACGCCGCGUGAGUGAUGAAGGUCUUCGGAUCGUAAAACUCUGUUAUUAGGGAAGAACAUAUGUGUAAGUAAAUGUGCACAUCUUGACGGUACCUAAUCAGAAAGCCACGGCUAACUACGUG